ACCUGCUCUGUGUGACGCGGGUCCGGUUUUGUCUUGGAUUUGGAGAGAAGGCUGUACCAAAUCAUCAUCCCAGGAUUGUGCCAUUCUUCACUGACCUGACCUGACCACUGAAGUAGUCUACCAAUCUUUCUGCUGCCAUGAGAUGUGAG